GAUGAACGCUGGCGGCGUGCCUAAUACAUGCAAGUCGAGCGAACAGACGAGGAGCUUGCUCCUCUGACGUUAGCGGCGGACUGGUUAGUAACACGUGGAUAACCUACCUAUAAGACUGGGAUAACUUCGGGAAACCGGAGCUAAUACCGGAUAAUAUAUUGAACCGCAUGGUUCAAUAGUGAAAGACGGUUUUGCUGUCACUUAUAGAUUGAUCCGCGCCGCAUUAGCUAGUUGGUAAGGUAACGGCUUACCAAGGCAACGAUGCGUAGCCGACCUGAGAGGGUGAUCGGCCACACUGGAACUGAGACACGGUCCAGACUCCUACGGGAGGCAGCAGUAGGGAAUCUUCCGCAAUGGGCGAAAGCCUGACGGAGCAACGCCGCGUGAGUGAUGAAGGUCUUCGGAUCGUAAAACUCUGUUAUUAGGGAAGAACAAAUGUGUAAGUAACUAUGCACGUCUUGACGGUACCUAAUCAGAAAGCCACGGCUAACUACGUG
rnacentral:rRNA from 1 species